GUUAAUGCUAUACUCUCAAGGUAGCACUGGAUGCCCCUGGUCAUCAUUCCACAGCAAAGACUAGAGCGGGGUGAGCAGUGCUUCACUACAUGCUCGUGGUUCCCCGUGUGCUCCUCCGUUAGACCAGCACGAGUGCACUGGGCCUGGACCACACCAGCUGUCCUGAGGUGGGCUUAGCCGCUGGAAUGGGUAGUGAUAGGAUGCAGAUGCUGUGGUCAUUCUGAAUGAGGUCUAUGGAGGUAUCAUAAUUCCACCCUGGGCUACACGGGGCUGGUUCUAACAAUGUUUUCUCCUAAUUAUUGCUUUGCUUCUGUUUUUGUUUGAAUCCAGAAAGUCCUUUGCUGUUUCCUUAUUACCCUCGAAAAUCAUUGCAUUUUGUGAAAAGGCGGAUGGAGAACGUUAUUGAUCAGUGUUUGCAAAAGCCAGCAGAUGUAAUUGGAAGAUCGAUGAAUCAAGCAAUUUGCAUUCCAUUAUAUAAAGAUGCUAGGAGUAUGGACUGUGCACGAAGAUUGUUAAAAUUCCCAUUUCUGUGGAAUAAUAAAACUUCGAAUCUUCAUUAUCUUCUUUUUACUAUUUUAGAAGAUUCGGUUUAUAAAAUGUGCAUCUUAAGGAGACAUACUGAUAUUUCCCAAUCUGUAAGUAAUGGACUAAUUGGUAUUAAAUUUGGGAGCUUCACAUCUGCCUCAGCUGACAAGGUCAGAAGAAGCUCUUACAGUUGUCUAGACGCCCAGUUCUAUGAUGAUGAGACUGUCACGGUCAUCCUGAAGGACUCCAUGGGACGUGAAGGGAGAGACAGGAUUUUGGUUCAGUUGUCACUGUCCUUGGUGUAUAACAGUGAAGAUUCUGACGAAUAUGAGUUCACUGGGAGUUACUCGACAAGGCUUG
rnacentral:lncRNA from 1 species